GGAAAUUCACAUUUAUGGAGAGGUAUCAUACAGAAAUCAACCACCUGGGGUCUCACAAAAACACACCUACCCUGAGUCUUUGAUGGCCACCUGCCUGUUGAUGUCAUUAUCCACCUGUCAACUGCCUGGGGCAUUGGGGAGAAAAGAAAACUUAAGUGUUUUCAUACCCAAGGAAGUUUAUGAAGUAAGUGCAAGCAUCACAAAUGGAGUUUUAA
rnacentral:lncRNA from 1 species